rnacentral:tRNA from 1 species
GAUGGUAUAGCUCAGUGGCAGAGUAUGUGCUUAGCAUGCACGAAGUCCUGGGUUCAAUCCCCAGUACCUCCA